UUCCUGAACUCACAGAUAUCUUCAGAUAUAUGUAUGUAUUGUCUCACAGACUUUGAUAUGAAAAGUAUAACAUAUAAAAGUAUGCUGAAGAAUUUGACUUCUCCAUGUAUUACACUUGAAUAAGGCUUUACAAACAGGAUAAAACCCUAUCUUAUUUUUAAAAAAAUAGCAUUUUUUCUCACCUUUUGAAAUAUCCUCUUCAUGGACAGUUGAUGAGUAGUACCUUUUUGGCUAAGAUUUCUUAUAACUCUGUAUCACUCUGGUGGUAACCUCUCUCUGGUGACAUAGAGCUAAUUUGUGACUUCUGAUGUGAUGAAGAAAAAUAUAAGAAUCUCCAGCUAAACAGUGGGAAUAAAUAAUAACCAAUUUUUUUGGACAAUUUCCAUCCCAAAAAUGUGACUACCGCAGAGUAUGGGACUGAUUAAUAUUUGAUGGUGAAAUGAAAGUUGAAAAAUCCCCAACACCACAAAAGCAGGUAAUGAUGAUGUAGCCUGCCCAAUUUACACGCCUUUCAGGGCUUUUCCCUUGUCUGUUUAGGCAAUGAAAACUUUGCAGACCAUAACAUAAAGAUUUGUAACCUUUUCUGAUUUAUACUGCAUGCUAUAACAUACUUCACUCCUUAUUCAACAUAGCAUUCAUUUUUAAAAUUUUGUGGAGUCGUUUCCUCAACAGUUUAUACCAGCAAAUUUCACAGCUCGCUCAUUACAAAUGGAAGCAAAGAAGAAAUCCUUUUUUGGGGAAGAUAAUUAGUACUUCCAACAUUCUGAUUUAUUAAAUACUAGUAGCAUUAUAUAUUCUUUAAGUGAGGGGGCUGUACAGGAUAGUUUCCAAUUUACCAAUCAUGACGGAAACAUAGAGUCUCAUCAGUGCAAGGGGCCUUGAGUUGUUUGAUUUAUUUCUCUGUCCAAAGGAAGAAGCAGCUGUACCGAGGUAAUUUCUGAUGAAUAUUUGUGCAAAGUGUACUUAAAGACCUCCAGUAAUGGAGACUCCAUAAUCUUCCCAGGCACUCUAUUUUGAUGCUUCAUUAUCCUCCUAGAAAUUUUUCCUGCUGUCUGCCCUGAACCUUCAAUUUGACAAUCAGCUUAAACUUCUACCUGCAGGGCAUGAUCUAAUCACUUUUUUCAUUAUAAAGUUUCAGUUAACUCACCUGCAGCCACGUAAUUGCUCUUGCUGACCUAAGGGAGGUGGUGGAAUCCUGUGCAUGGGAAAAGGAAAAGGGUGCAACUGCAAUUCACAUUUUCAGACUAUUGUUUCCUCCCCCAUCCAGCACAGAUAUCAAGAACAGCCCAUGAAGUUAUCAGUGCCUGUGACUACAGCCAACAGUGUGACAUUUGGAGCACAGGUGUCAUUAUGUACAUGCUAAGGCUUGGAAGAAAAGCUUUUAAAAUAAUAAGAAGGGAAGACCUCUGCUUUGAAAAAUUUGGUCUGGGAAAUAGUUACCAAGACUGAAAUGAUGUUGCUCAUUCGGGUCUGGUGAAAAGGAUGUGGGAGUACCUCAGUGGAGAAAGACAUGGUCAUGAAAACUCAAGGCUGGAGAAAUUUCUCUGUGUCGGACUGCAGAGUUACACUCCCCACAGCCUGAAGGAAUGAACUUCCAGGAGGAAAAAUGGCCCACAUCAGAACAGAGCCUUGUCAAGCCCCUCCGCCAACAGGCACUCCACACUUCAUCAGGCAGUUUUUCUCAGAGAUUCUGAGAAAAUUCUCAGGGAUUCUGAGAAGAUUCAAACAGAACUUUGCUGUCUCUUAACACCUCUAGCUGCAGCUCUUUUCAUCAAGGCUACAAAAUGAAGAUCUGUGUAUUGCUGUUGAAAUAUCCCACUGGGAAAAGGCAGCAUAAUUUCUGGCCACCGUGUAAAUCCCACACUGAAGACUCACUUGGGAAGAAGAACAGACACAAAAUGUUGUGCUGGCUUUCUAA